UACGGGGGGGGCAAGCGUUGUUCGGAAUUACUGGGCGUAAAGGGCUCGUAGGUGGCCAACUAAGUCAUGCGUGAAAUCCCUCGGCUUAACCGGGGAACUGCGUCUGAUACUGGAUGGCUUGAGUUUGGGAGAGGGAAGUGGAAUUCCCGGUGUAGUGGUGAAAUGCGUAGAUAUCGGGAGGAACACCAGUGGCGAAGGCGACUUCCUGGCCUGUUCUUGACGCUGAGGCGCGAAAGCUAGGGUAGCAAACGGG
rnacentral:rRNA from 1 species